rnacentral:rRNA from 1 species
UGGGGAAUAUUGCACAAUGGGCGAAAGCCUGAUGCAGCGACGCCGCGUGAGGGAUGACGGCCUUCGGGUUGUAAACCUCUUUCAGCAGGGACGAAGCGCAAGUGACGGUACCUGCAGAAGAAGCACCGGCUAACUACGUGCCAGCAGCCGCGGUAAUACGUAGGGUGCAAGCGUUGUCCGGAAUUACUGGGCGUAAAGAGUUCGUAGGCGGUUUGUCGCGUCGUUUGUGAAAACCAGCAGCUCAACUGCUGGCUUGCAGGCGAUACGGGCAGACUUGAGUACUGCUGGGGAGACUGGAAUUCCUGGUGUAGCGGUGAAAUGCGCAGAUAUCAGGAGGAACACCGGUGGCGAAGGCGGGUCUCUGGGCAGUAACUGACGCUGAGGAACGAAAGCGUGGGUAGCGAACAGG